CCUACGGGAGGCUGCAGUGAGGAAUAUUGGUCAAUGGACGAGAGUCUGAACCAGCCAAGUAGCGUGAAGGAUGACUGCCCUAUGGGUUGUAAACUUCUUUUAUAUGGGAAUAAAAUGUUCCACGUGUGGGAUUUUGUAUGUACCAUAUGAAUAAGGAUCGGCUAACUCCGUGCCAGCAGCCGCGGUAAUACGGAGGAUCCGAGCGUUAUCCGGAUUUAUUGGGUUUAAAGGGAGCGUAGGUGGAUUGUUAAGUCAGUUGUGAAAGUUUGCGGCUCAACCGUAAAAUUGCAGUUGAAACUGGCAGUCUUGAGUACAGUAGAGGUGGGCGGAAUUCGUGGUGUAGCGGUGAAAUGUUUAGAUAUCACGAAGAACUCCGAUUGCGAAGGCAGUUCACUGGACUGCAACUGACACUGAGGCUCGAAAGUGUGGGUAUCAAACAGGAUUAGAUACCCGUGUAGUC
rnacentral:rRNA from 1 species